rnacentral:tRNA from 1 species
GGGCCCGUGGGUUAGUUUGGCUAUACUUGUGGCUUUGGGAGCCAUAGACCCCAGUUCGAAUCUGGGCGGGCCCA